rnacentral:ncRNA from 1 species
UGGUCUACAGGUUUCAUAACUACUCUGCAUAUCAAUAAGCGGAGGAAAAGAACUUACAAGGAUUCCCUUAGUAAACUGCGAAUUAACCGGGAAAAGCCCAGCCUUUGAAUCGGUCGACUCCGUCGUGUGAAUUGUAGUCUGGAGAAGCGUCCGCAGUGGCAGACCGGGCCCAAGUUCCUUGGAAGGGGGCGCCAGAUACGGUGAGAGCCCCAUUGUGCUCGGACCCUGUCGCAC